CGGCGGACGGGUGAGUAACGCGUGGGUAACCUGCCUCAUACAGGGGGAUAACAGUUGGAAACGGCUGCUAAUACCGCAUAAGCGCACAGUACCGCAUGGUACGGUGUGAAAAACUCCGGUGGUAUGAGAUGGACCCGCGUCUGAUUAGGUAGUUGGUGGGGUAACGGCCUACCAAGCCGACGAUCAGUAGCCGACCUGAGGGGUGACCGGCCACAUUGGGACUGAGACACGGCCCAA
rnacentral:rRNA from 1 species